AAUUUUCUUAAGGAGUUUAAAGUUUAUUUAUAUACAAAUUAUCUGGUUUCUUUUUUAAUUACUUUAUUAUAAAACUCAAUUUCUCUGUUUCCUAAGUAAAAAGAAACUUGGCUCUGAUUUAGUAGUAUGGCAAAAACUAAGAAAAACACAUGGUUUUUAUAGAAAGAGGCGAGGUAGGGAAAUAAUAAUUUGAUUAGUAAAUAAUUUAAUAAUUAUUUUUCUUAAGGUAUUAUAAAUACACAGAAUGCCUGGAAAGUUCCGCUAACACCAGUGUUGAAGUUUAAUCAAUAAGCGAGAGCUCGUAUUAAUUUAGUAAUAUAAAUUUGGUUAAUUUGGUGCCAGCAUCCGCGGUUACACCAAGGAAUUAAGUCAUACUUACACGGUAAAAAGACAGUUAAACUUUAGAAUUUUGGCUUAUUAAUUAGCUUAUAAAAAAGUAAAAUUUGCAUAUAAACUAUUAACCUAUUAACAGCCUGUGAAGUUGGAUCUGUGAAAGUCUUGAGGGAAACUGGGAUUAGAUACCCCAUUAUUCUUGAUCACAAAUUUAAUAAAAUUUACCAGAGUACUAUGAAUAUAAUAAAAUUUAAAACUCAAAGGGCUUGGCGGUGUUUUAGACCACUCAGGGGAACUUGUCUCAUAACCGAUAAUCCACGUUAUACCUGACCUUUUUUGGUUUUCAGCCUGUAUACCGUUGUCGUCAGGUAACUUUUUAGAAGCUAGAAGUUAGCUAAUAAUCUUAUAAAUUGAAACGUCAAAUCAAGGUGCAGCUCAUAGAAAGGGGAAGAUGAGUUACAAUUAUUGAAUCAUAAUUACGAAAAACUAUCAGAAUUGUAAGUUGAAAGGAGGACUUGAAAGUAAAUUAAAUUAUCUAAAUACUUUGAAUUAGGCUCUGAAACGUGCACACAUCGCCCGUCGCUCUUGUUGAAAAAUAAGAUAAGUCGUAACAUAGUAGGGGUAAUGGAAAUUGUCCCUAAACUAAAC
rnacentral:rRNA from 1 species